CUUUUGAUUAGAUUCCAGUUUUCAGUACCUGCAUAGCCUGGGAUGUAAUUACAAUGACAAACCCAGGAGAAGAUGAACACACCAAAAGGUCAAGUUCUUUGGAAGCAGACCCUGAAAUGAAGAUUUCUAUGCAACUUAUUUACUAAGGAAGUGCUCCCAGGAGAGACUGCUGCCAUGUCAUGAAGACACUCAAGUAGCCUAUGGAGAAGCCCACGUGGCAUGCGACUGAAGCCUCCUGCCAACAGCUAGGGAGCAACUGAGACCCCCUGCCCUCUGCCGUGGGAGAGAGCCACCAUGGAAGUGGGUCCUCCAGCCCUGGGCCAGCCUUCAGAUGACUGCAGCCCAAAAUGACACCUUAAUUACAGCUUUGUGAGAAACCCUGAGCCAGAACCACCUGACUAAGAUGCUCCCAGAUUCCUG